UUCGCUUCUUAGCCUUUUGGCUAAGAUCAAGUGUAGUAUCUGUUCUUAUCAGUUUAAUAUCUGAUACAUCCCCCAGCGGGGGACUACAUAUCAAGUAUAUAAAGCAACGUCC
ensembl:snRNA U2 U2 spliceosomal RNA